rnacentral:lncRNA from 1 species
AGGAGUCUGAGCAGUGGAAUCCCCUAACUGAGUCUGUUGUAACAAGCUCAUCAAUUGGUCAUAUUGUUGUCUGCUCAACCUUGGUAUCACAGAACUCUGGCCAUCUAAGUUUGUAACAGGGUGAUGGCAUUCACGAGGAUUUUCUUGGGGAACAGACACAUUUCCUUCAGAAGAAGGGAAAUCCACACUAGCAGUUAGAUGAGCAGCAGCAGGUCUCCUCCCCUUAUUAAAUGUUGUACUUUGUGGAUACCCAUGAAUCUUGAAACACUUAUCAAUUAAGUGCCCAGA